rnacentral:lncRNA from 1 species
ACAAAAAAAUAUCAAAUGAUAAAAUAAAAAUAAAAAUAAAAAUCGUUUUUAGAAACUAGAAUUAAAAAGAGAAAUAAUGCAAUUGGUCCCAUAUUUUUUGGAUUAAAAAUGAAAGAGUUAUGAAUUUUUAAAAUAAAAUGGAAUUAAAGAGAAUAAAAUGGAAAUUAAGAAAAUCAGAAAAAAUGAGAGGCGUUAGAUCUAAGCUCAUUAAUUGAGCUAGCACAUCCAGAGGUGGAGAAAUGCGUGCGCACGAUGG